ensembl:lncRNA
AUUAGCCCCAGCCUCAGCUGCCACCGAAGACCGGGUCGGACACUGAGCGUGUGUAAGCGGAGGAUUUGACCGCACGACGGAGGAAAUGUGAGCGACAAUGUGACGUUUGGGAGCCUCGACGAGGAUUAUCGCCGUCUCCAGCCGUGGGCUGAUUUUCCCUCAAAAGAUAAGCGACUUUCGGCAUGCAGAGCCUGCUGCGGAUCUGCGAGCCUCCACUAACGUGAAGCAAGAGCGUAGCUUGUUAAAAGUGCAGCUUUAGCCAUCGCUACAAGAUUGCUAGUUUUCUCUGAAAGUGCAUUUCCUCCCUAAAAAUGUUCUCGGAGCACGUCGUCGGAAUAUCAGAGUCAGCGGUGUGAUUUAUAAUUGAUAACGGAGGACGGAGCUGCCGGACACCGCCCGGACCGGGAUUUCAUCCUCUUUGGGGAAAAGAAAAGGACUGGCAGCUUCCAGCUGGGCGUGCAGACGGACGGAAACGACGCUCAUCACCUGGAAUGUUUGGAAAGUGAAAUUGUUUUAGGUUAUCUGUUUAAAAGGGGCCCUUACUGGAGGGAUACCUGCAUGAUUCUGGGAGCAGUCCAGCCAUUCAGAGCCCCUAAAGCGGAUGCGUGGAUAAGUGAAGCUCCUAUUUUUGUACUCAAGGACACCUUCAGUGUCGGUGGGUGUAGUUUCUUGCAGCCUGGCAGUAUUUGGGUUUUGAAGCACAAGCCGGAGCAGGAUUUCUACGGGGACUUCAGAUUAUCGGAAUUAAAGCUCUUUAGCCCCCCAGCACCACUUUUCUCUGAGCCUUGGUCUCCAGCAUCGAUGCGGAUAGCUCUUCCGUGCCCGUUACUUUAAAUACGCUAUUGGAGUAACGUUACUUGAGCUUUUUGAGGCGAAUAGGAGUUUUAUCAACAGCCGUGUGACCUCCUCCCCUCUGCCACCCACCCAUCCUGCUCUUUCCAGGAUCUACGUGUACAGGAGUGUUUCUCGUGGCUGUGCACGGCAAGCCCACCGGCACCUGGAUCCCUGCUUCGCCCCGUUUUUUUCUUUUCUGCUGCCUAACCGCGCGAGCGUCUGUUCCGCUGCCCGAGCUCACUCACACACUCUCUCACACACACACACCGCUUUUUUUUCAGCACCAGAAAACAAACAAACAAACAAACAAAGAAAACUACCAAGAUAGCUCCUCUCGCUUCGUGUGCAAGGGAAGGAGUCGCGCAAGAGUGGAGACCGUGAGUUUGGAUAAGGUGCUGAGCCCGAUCGGCUUUAAAGCAUUUUAUUGAGAGGGGAGUCCUCACUGUGUUUUCCAUUAGUGGACUGAUCGGGGGAGAAAGACGAGAGGAUUUUUGUGGAGGGGGUAGAAAAGAGACACAUCAGGAGGAGAGGAGUUGGUGAUCGAUGAAGGUGUCAGAAAGGUCUGACAUUGGAACCAGAUGACAGAAAGGAAUGUUCUCCAGAGAGGGAAGCAGAUGGCAGGCAGGUGAGGGCAGCGGUGGAGGGUGAGCAGGCAGGUGCAGCAAUGGAGGUGAGUGGAGGAGGGAAAACAUCUUGGCGGGGUUGCACUUGAACAGGUCUUCAGCCGAUGGAGGAUGAACGUAGAGAGAAAACACGUGAGAACAAAAAUACACAGGUUUGCACUAGGAAACGCAUUUGGCUUUUUACUACUCGAUCUGGGGUAAUGGGGACGAUGGACGGAUCAGCUAGUCCUCAUAUACUAGCGUUAAUGACGAUUAUCAGCACCAGAUGUGUCAGGCAAGAGAGCGAGAACAGAGCGUUCCGCCCACUAAGGAGGAGAAUAUCUGCAGGACGGUUACUCAGGAGAAGGAGAAACUGGACCAACCCACGCCCUUAUGACACAAACGGCAUUAUUUGCAGCCAGACAGUAGGCUUUUAAAACAGUUGUCAUCUAGAAUCCUUUUUGUCAUCUACCUCCAUAAGCUCUGAGCUUUUUCCUCUGUGCUUCCAAAUAAAAAGCUUCUUUAAUACCGGACAAAACACCUGCUGACAUCCGCUGACAUCUGGCUGUUAUCUCGAAGAUGAAGGAUUGCCACAUCAAACAACCGU